AAUAUAUCUACGAUACACACGUGUUCUCUUGCGAUCGAAGAUCAAGAUCAAGUAGUGAGAAGAUCUAAGAUCGAAGAAUCAAGCCGUGUUUAAUUAUUAUUCCAUAUGCAUAUACAAAUCAUAUAUAUCUAUAUCUUCAACCAGGGUAGUUAAGAAUUUUACCGAAGGUCUGCGUUACGACAUUCUGUUUCGAUACAGCUUGAGCACGACUUCGGACCUCGAAACCCGAGGUUUUGCAAAAAAUCCGAAUUUACGAUAACGGUAGAAAUAAAAUUACCAAAAAUAUGUAUCCAACCUGCACAGAGACACGUUGCAUUGAAAAUAAAAUUGUGCUUGUAUGAAAAA